rnacentral:lncRNA from 1 species
CCGGACCCCGUUGCCGGCAACAACGCGUGAGGGGAUAAGGGCGUCCCUCCGGCGCCUCGGUCUCCUCCCACCUACUGCCGCACCCACUCGCCCACUUGCCCGCCAUCUCCCUCCUCUCGCUCGCUCCAUCUUGCCGAAAACGGCCGGGCGCCAUCGUCGCCGUCUCCGCGUCGAUUCCCCGGCCACCAGCCGCCCCGCGCCGCCUGGAGGCGUCCAGGAGGCCGGCUGUCGUCGUAUGCGUCGGUUCCCCCUUCGGUUCGAGCCCGGGAGCUCCCCUUCGCCGGAUCGGGCGGCUCCCUCCGCCUCGGCCUCCACCAUCCCGCCGCCCCAAGUCGUCGCAUCCAGUCGUCCCCGGCCCCGUACGAGCUCGCCAUCAGCCCUCCCGCGGUGAGCAGCGCCGACCCCCCCGCCUUUCCCCUAGUUCCCGUCGAUGUAGUGACCGCCCCAUGAGCUCCGUCCGCCAUGGCCACUAGAGCUCCACGUCUGCGCGCGCCCGUGUACUACUGCUGCUCCUGGCCGCGCCUAGCAUGCCCAGACGUGCUUACGCACGCGCGCUAGUGCGCCCAACUGUUGCUGCCCCACUGCUCGCCCUAUUGUUCUCUCCUCGCUGUUGUUGCUUCUGCUUCCGCGGCGGCUUGCUGUGCUGCUGCUCCCGCCGCUGGCUGCCGCUGCUACUUGCUUUUGCCUGCUGCUCUCUACGUUGCUGCUGCUGCCCAUGAUUGCAUGCUCUUGCCGCUGUUGGCCGUGGCCGCCAUGCACACCCGUGCGUGUGUGCCCAAGAACACCAAUGGUUGGAUUGGGCCAUGGCCGCUGGAGCUACCCCCUGUUUAGACUAGAUGUUAAUUAGUGUUUAGAUUAGUAUGCGUACAGAUGACAUGCGGGUCCCCUGGAAAUUAAAAUAAAUAACCAAAAUAAUUUUAGCUACUGUCUAUGACAGCUGGGUCCCGCUGACACUGUUCACUUUGACCGGUCAGCUCUGACUGGGUUGUUGACUGGGUCAACUCUGCUGACUGGACCACUCCUGGGCCCCUUUGGUCAUACACUCAGGCUAGUGUAGAGCUAGGUGACAAAUGUGUAUUCUGUAAAAAUAAUUUCAGAAUAAAUUUAAAACUUUAGAAAAUCAUAGGAAAUUAACCGUAGCUCGGAUCGUAAAACUUUGUACAUGAAAGUUGCUCAGAACGACGAGACGAAUCUGAACGCGCGGUCCGUUCGCCCGCCACACGUCCCUGGCAUAGCAAACAUUGAACUUUUUCCCUCCGGUUCAUCUCUCUAGUAGACGUCCGGAACCUGGAAAACUAUCCCAGAUGUUUCCCCCUUCGCCAGUAUCGUCAAGCGCCGCGUUAGAACACCUCUAGCCCCACUUAUUGUCUUUUUAUGCAUAUGAUUGCGUGUAUUUACUGUUUCUUCCCCCUCUUCUCUCCGGUAGACCUCGAGACUGCUGCCGAUGCCCCUGUGAUCGACUACGUGGACGACGAUCCUCCUUCUUGUCUGAGCAACCAGGCAAGCCCCCCCUUUGAUCAUCCUGAUAUCGCCCAUUCUAUACUCUCAUGCUUGCAUUAGAUUUUGCUACUGUUAUUGUUCUCUGCUAUUCUGAUGCAUAGCCUGCUUUUGUACCUGCUUAUUGUUACCUACCUGCUUAUCCUGAACUGCUUAGUAUAGGUUGGUUAGUGAUCCAUCAGUGACCCCCACCUUGUCCUUGUUGCCCCUGCUUCAUCAUCGACGCCUCGAUCGACGUGAUCGACGACCAGAGCCCGACACCUCACAUCACAUCACACCCCUUUUGUUGCUCGACUCUGCAGAGAUACUAUCGAGUGCCGAGGGUGAUCCCUCAUAAUGCACUCCUGAUGAUAAUUCUGUAGUGUAGCUAUUCAGUCAUGGUCAUCGAGGGUGAUUUCCUCUUUCGCCAUUCCCGAUACGGCUCUGUCGUUCAACACCUCAAGAGUGAACCUCGAGGGUGGUCCCUCUUACGUUCACCUUGAUGAUUACAUUGAGUGGAAUCCACCGGGGGUGAUUCCUCGGGUUUUCCCCUUGAUGUCUGGACACACGGUUACAAUGACUUUACUUGAGACCUUGGUGGAAGUCGGGCGGGCCCGGAGAGCACCCGCAAGAUGGUUACGUGGCACGGCCGGGCAUUCUAGGCCCUUGUCGUAAGUCCACGAGACGGGGCGACGGGGUCACUUUUGAUCGUGAGUCUCUGCUCAUCUCCGCAAGCUAAUAAUACACUAUGGUUUGGGUAUUUGUUCUGAGUUGGCCUCUGGCCUUUACGCACCAACCACCACGUGAGAAUAGUUAUGGGCCUCGACGUCGCGGUAUCAGCCGAAGCUUUGUCAGACGUCCAGUUCAGCAGUGCGGCACGGCUGGGCCGGCACCAUCCUGUAGUGGUGGAGCCUGGUCCGCCCUGCUCGCAACAACUCGGAGUGCAACGGGCGAUGGGCCCAGACCCCGGAGUGCUUAGGAGGUAGACCGGCGGGGACCUCUCUGCUGAGCCUAGGUCGGGCUGCGACGUGUUGAUCUUCCGAGGCCGGUUAUUGACCCCAGAAAGGUGUGUCCGACCAGAGUGAUCAAGCGUGUUGGAAAACGUGGUGCACCCCUGCAGGGAAGAUUAUCUAUUAAUAGCCGUGUCCACGGUAACGGACGUUCAGACUUAUAUCCUGAUCUUAUACAACUACAAAUGGAUACUUGAAUAUGUGGCUCUAGGAUUGCUUUCUCGCAGGGAGUCGAGGAAGGAUCUCUGGGCAUUUAUGUACAACAUGCUUGUCAAUUAUAAACUGCUAUUCUUUACUCUUCUACAUGUUGCAAGAUGCUCGGAGCUGCGUGAAGAUGCUAGUCUUCGAUAGGCUAGGCUUUCCCCCUCUAUUCUGGCAUUCUGCAGUUCAGUCCACGGAUACAACCCUUCCAUUUGAUACAAAUGCAUACUUAGUAUAGAUCUGAUGCUUGCGAGUACUUUGGAUGAGUACUCACGGUUGCUUUGCUACCCCUUUUCCCCCUUCUUUCUUCUUUCCGGUUGAUGCAACUAGAUGGUGGAUCCUUGGAGCCAGAUGCCACCGCCGACGGAUACUACUACAUGGAGGCCGCCGAAGACCAGGAGUAGUUAGGAGGUCCCAGGCGGGAGGCCUUGCCUUUUCGAUCGUGUUGCUUUUGUGCUAGCCUUCUUAAGGCAAAACUUGUUUAACUUAUGUCUGUACUCAGAUAUUGUUGCUUUCGCUGACUCUUGUGUAUCGAGCUUGUAUUCGAGCCCUCGAGGCCCCUGGCUUGUAAUAUAAAGCUUGUAUUAUUUUAUUUGUGUCUAGAGUUGUGUUGUGAUAUCUUCUCGUGAGUCCCUGAUCUUGAUCAUACACAUUUGCGUGUAUGAUUAGUGUACAAUUGAAUCGGGGGCGUCACAAUACAUGUCAUGAUUAUACGGUCACUGGCUCACCCG